UUAUGGUAAAUGAUAUGUAAAUGAUAUGUAAUGAUAAAUAAUUUAUAAUGAUUUAUUUACAUUCAUUUUUUUUUAUAUUUAUUUUUGUCCAUAAAGAAAUUCGAUUCGCUUUUUGAUUAUAUAUCAUGGUAAAGUAGCGUGUAACGAUAUACGAGGACGAGUGCAAAUUUAGCUGGUAUCAUUAGCAUGAUUAUCGAGUGUGCGAUACGACAUCGUUAAUCCAAAAUUGGAGCCACGGUAACGGAGACGAUUUAUUCGUUUGUGCUAACGAUCGUUUUCUUAAAAAUUGGAAUUUCAUCAACGCGUUAUAUCGUUGCGUUUGCUGGUGUAGAGCAGUGUUUCUCAGCUGGAGAGUGAUUAAACGUUAAAUAUUACCUUGCCGAGAAAAGUAAAAAGUUAGGUUAGAUUAAUUUUUUAGAGAGAAAUAAAUUAGGUGAUUCGAUUCUGGAUCCUUAUAAAAUACGUGGUUUCGUAUUCGUAUUAUUAAAUAUUUUAAUGUAAUUUGAAAAAGAGAAAAUACGCUGGUAAAAUAUUUAAAUUAUAUUUUUCAGAACUUGAUUAAUUAUUAUGUUAUAGAAGAGAAAUAAAAAUCUUUGAGGCAUGGAACGAGAAUAUUUUUUAUAUUAUUUAUAUUAUAAUUAUGAGAAUUGAUAAGUAUACGUUUUGGAUGUGAAUGAAAUUUUUUCUUUAUAAGAAAUUUAAAAAAAAAUUUGAACAAGAACGAUAAAUUUUUCUUCUCCUUAGUUCGUUUCAUUUUUUCUAUUUUUCUUGACAUGCAAUAUUACUUUGUCAAAACGAUAAAAGGAAAUCUCUGAGGAAUAAUACAAAGUUUCGCAGUUUCCUAUUUAUCAUAAAAAAGAUAUUCCAGCGAGCCAUAAAAUGACGAAAAAGUGUUUUGUUGCCUGUUAAUAAUAGUUUCAAAAGAAAGAUUUUGUAAAACAUGUGAUUCAUAUAUGCACGAUCAUGUAAAUUUCAUCUUUUAAAGUAUUAUUUAAAAUUCUCUUUCUACAAACUUUGAAUCACUCUGCUAAAAAUUGAAAAUCAAUAGAAAUUAUCUUAAGAUCAAGUUAAAAUUAAUUUCAGUUAAUUUUAUUAACUUUUAUAGGAUAGCCUCUGAAUUACAAUUACAAAUAAAGGAAAGAAUUUUAAUAAAAAAAAUCAACGAUUGAAAUACAAUUUUCUAUAAUUAAAAACUAAAGAAUAAUUUAUCAUCUUCAUUUUUUACUAUUUUUCACUAAAUGAAGGAUCGAACACAAACGAAAGCAAACAGAAAUACAAAAAAAUAGAAAAAUUUUCAAAUCCAUUAAACGCAAUCCAUUAAUUUUCGAAUUUUCAAAUUUUUCUCUAUUUUCGUUUGAUAAAAAAUGAAAAAAAAAACAAACAAAACGAAAUUAAAAAGAAAUUAAAAGGGCGAAAGCGUUGCCACGGAACGAUUCAAUUUCGUGAAAAAUUUAUUUCGUUAGAAAAAUGAAUUGUUCACGGUGAACGAUAUCUCUGCACGUGUGACAAAAGAAGAGGCAGCAAACGAAUCGUUCUUUGCACGAUGAAUUUCGUGAAUCGUGAUUGGAGGAACAAGCCGAAUGAAGAGAAUUUCCGGCCACAAUGCACAACACAAUAGUUGGAUCUAUCUACAAUAGCCUUAACUCUUUCUUUUUGUAUUUUUAUUCUAUGUCUCUUUCUCUCUCUUUUUCCUUUUUUCUUUUUUGGAUAGAUCGAUAGAAAUAACAAAAUAGUUUAUUGCUUGAAAUUGUUACUGAAUAAUUAUCUCUCGAAUUUUUCCUUUCUUAAUUUUUUCCUUUCUUAAUAUUGCUGUUAUUUUUAAUAACAAAAACUUAAUAACAAAAUAAAGAUCGUAUAUAAAUUUUAUAUAAUACAAUCAUUGGAUCUACUUAACUCUUUCGAUUCCUUUUUGUUUUUUUUUUUGCAAAUUAAUUUAAAUCAUUAAUUGUCUAAAUUAACGAUAAGUUUCAAUAGCAAACUUAUUAUAUAAAUUUAUUUAUUCUCAAAAGAGAAAUACGAGUUCGAGGGUAUGAAAUAGUACACGUGCCUAUGAUCGAAAAGGUAAAAUUUUUCACAAACAUUCGACCAAUCGACGGAUCAGUGCCAUUCGAUCCUCCGUUUCCGGUAUUCUCGUCAGGCGUGUUGUCCCUUUUUCUCGUUCGUUGGAUCUCGAUCCGACAUUUUGUUCGGUCACGUUUCACGUCCCCCCCACUCUUUUUCAUCGCCGUUAACCACGUAUCCUUUUCCAACUCUGUUCGUAUACGCCUCGCGUUCCUUUUUCUUCCACAAUUAAUACUCGAACCAACGUGCAACGUGUUUAGAAAACAGCGAGCAUUAUUCGAAACGAAGGAGAAAAAUUUUGAAGAAGUGGAUCGAAACCUAGAAUAAUUAAGUGUCAAGAAAUUUUACUUAUCAUAUCGAUAUCAUAAGUGGACGAUGACAUUCGAUCCUAAUCUGCACCCUUGUUCCUCGAAAAAUUUAUUAGACCAAGAACAUUAAUCGGAAUUUUUAUAUCUAGAAAAAUGAGAGGAUGGAUACUCGUCCAUGGCGCGAAACUCUCGUAACAAAACCUAUAAGCAACCCGCCAACCACGACAGUAAACGUUCCAUAAAUUUUGCUUUCCUACGUUCGAACACACGAUAGAAUGCACUUUACAACAGCCAAUACAAUCUUUCCAAUAAGAGACGAUCAAUUUUUCACCACCACAUUUUAUUUCUCCUCUCGCUAAAAAUUUCGAAAUUCUGUUUUAAAAUUUAUCUAUCAAUUUUUUUUUCAAAUUUAUUUAUCUUCUUAAAAUUUUUCUUCGUUAUGCGUUAUAUUAAAUAUUAGUUACUUAACCUUCCGUCGAUAUAAUAGAUCGAGUUCGAGAUGAAAUUUUUAUUUUCAUCAAUACAAGAUUUUUAACAUUUAAUCAUCAACAAAUUAAGAUAGAAUGAUGAUAAAGGUGCUGAAGUAUUAUUUUUUUUUUGUUGAUAAAGAAUAAAAUAGGAGAAAGAAUUAUUUUCACUUAUCAAUCAAAAUAUUUUCACUAUUUAUCGUGUUUUUAUCGGUAUAAAAAUUCUAUUUUAAAUACGGAUAAUUGUAAAAUAUAGUUGAUAUUUGAAGGAAAAAAAAGAAUAUUCUUGAGAAAUCUGAAUCAUCGAUAAAGCACGAUUCGAUAUUUCAUUGUAAGAAAUAAUAAUACCAUUUUAUCCACCUGGUCAGUUUAUUAAUCACGAUAUGGUCUUCUUUCGAAAAAUCGUCGCACAAUUAUUCAGUCUUGAGGUAGUUCCAAGCUGCGAAAUUACUAGCGCAUCGAUCAACCGUUGUUAAAAAGACAAGAGUGCAAAUGGAGUGCAAUUGUGUCGUCGAUAUUUCAUAACGCGAUAAUGCGAUCUGAAAUAUCGUGGUGAUGGUGUGAAUUGAAGGUGCUUGAAUGCGCAUUCAGUUCCAUUCGGCCGGGAUAGUUUUAAUUUUAUUGUCACCGCGUUAUUUGACGCCAUGCUGUCAGUAAUGGCGUCUAAGUGCAUUGUUAAGGAAAGGUACGGAGGAGUGAAUGGGGAACAUGAAAGGGCACGAUAUUCGUGUACCAAAGGGGAUAAUGCCAAGGUAGCUAGGAUAAUGAAGGUAUUUGUUAGUGGAUUUCGCUGCAAAAAUGUAAACGUAUUCUUCGUUCGAAAUUGGAAUUCUAUAGGGAAUAUCUAUUUCCCAGAAGCCACAUUUUCCUUUUUAUCCAGGUAUAUUCUUGAACCAACGACACGAGCGUGCUCGUUCGAGCGAUCACCGCACCACCCACACAUCCAUCUUCCCAAGGAAAGAAGCAUCGACCGCUAUUCGGUCCCCAGUACUUAAUUAUUCUUGCAAGUGGCACCGGUGUCUUAAUUAUCACGCGCUUUCAGCCCUUUUAAGGGAUACCUUUGGCAGAAGUGGCGAACCCGGCUAAUUGCAUUGCCAAAGAGUACUAAAGGUGGCGUGACAGCGUUGCUUUAAUUGAAACUACAACCUUCAGAAGCACAAGUUUUUUGUCAAAUAAUCUUAUAAGCAAAUUUUUCCAAAUUUCUUUCCGUAUCGAUUCGGUAUUUCAAUAUUUUUUUCAAUUCUUCGAUCGUGUAGCUUUGAUGGUUAAGUCAGGUUAGGUUAAGUUAAAUUUGUUAGAUAUGUAUUAAAUAGACAUUGCUGAAAAUCUUACAAAAUCGAAAAAUAGAUAUUCUUUUUCUACAAAAAAAGUAUUCAAGUUUUGUUCCAUAAUGCGAAUAAAAUCUCAGACACAUUUUCUUUUAUUUCAUAAUUAACAAAGGGAAUUAGUUUAAUUGUGUUCAGAACAGAAAUUUUGUACGAGUUAUAUUCGUGAAAAUCUUGCAAGUUCAUAUCGAUUUUACUGAUAAUAGCAAUAAUAAUAGUGAUCGGUUGUACUUUUCCCUAACCUAACCUAAAAACAACAAUCGUAGCCGAUUACACCUCACGCUCUCGAGUCUCCCUGUUCGAUGCGGAGAAAAAAAAUAUAGUUUCCUUUAUUGAGAGACAAAUAAAAGUAUAGAAUAGACGAAUAGAUAAGAAAGAAAACGAAUGAAACGUUCUUCGAAGGUAGCUACGAAUGAAAAGAGAAAAGCAAUCGAAUGGAAGCAAAGGAAACGAGGUUCACCGCGUGGCAAUCUGUCUUCGUUCUUGCGACAGAAAAAGAAAUUAAAAGAAAAAGAAGGGAAUAUCGAGCACCAUUCAACCGAGAGGUAUUCUCGCGACAGAAAAGAGAGGCGGGAGGCCUGUCUUUCUAUGUCGUUUCCGGUUUCAUCCCCUCCUUUGAGCUCUCGUCUUUUUCGCGCCACCACCAACUUUUCCACUUGCUUUUCCAAGCCAUUUCGAUGCUUUUACUUGUGAAAACUUAAUUCCCCGCCAGAUCUCUCUAUGGUCGCCUUCUUCUUUGUAAACACUCUGCCUGUUUUUGUAAGGAAUAAGCAUCCUCGAAGAGAAGUUAUUCGUCUCAUUCCAUCGUAACUCAACCAUGUGGUUUUUAUUUAACCUUCCUUUCUCUUGUAUCGAUAAAUUUACCGAUUCCAAGUCCAUUAAGUGUACAAUGAGAACGAUAUGGAUUAUAAUCGAUCGAAAUAUGUACGAUGAUGGAAUUGUAUUGUUAGAGGGAAUGGAAUGAUGUUGGGAGGAUUGAUCAGUGAUUGGAAGAAAUUAAUAGUAAAAAAUUUAGAUAGAUAUAUAUGGAUAUAAACAUUAAA